rnacentral:rRNA from 1 species
AUUGAACGCUGGCGGCAUGCCUUACACAUGCAAGUCAACGGUAACGGGCCUUCGGGUGCCGACGAGUGGCGAACGGGUGAGUAAUGUAUCGGAACGUACCUUUCAGUGGGGGAUAAUGUAGCGAAAGUUACGCUAAUACCGCAUAUUCUGUGAGCAGGAAAGCAGGGGAUCGCAAGACCUUGCGCUGAUUGAGCGGCCGAUAUCAGAUUAGCUAGUUGGUGAGGUAAAGGCUCACCAAGGCGACGAUCUGUAGCGGGUCUGAGAGGAUGAUCCGCCACACUGGAACUGAGACACGGUCCAGACUCCUACGGGAGGCAGCAGUGGGGAAUUUUGGACAAUGGGGGCAACCCUGAUCCAGCCAUGCCGCGUGAGUGAAGAAGGCCUUCGGGUUGUAAAGCUCUUUCGGCCGGGAAGAAAUCGUAUCAGCUAAUACCUGGUGCGGAUGACGGUACCGGCAUAAGAAGCACCGGCUAACUACGUGCCAGCCGCCGCCGUAAAAC